CCUACGGGUGGCAGCAGUGGGGAAUCUUCCACAAUGGGCGAAAGCCUGAUGGAGCAACGCCGCGUGGGUGAAGAAGGUCUUUGGAUCGUAAAACCCUGUUGUUAGAGAAGAAAGUGCGUGAGAGUAACUGUUCACGUUUCGACGGUAUCUAACCAGAAAGCCACGGCUAACUACGUGCCAGCAGCCGCGGUAAUACGGAGGAUGCGAGCGUUAUCCGGAUUUAUUGGGUUUAAAGGGUGCGCAGGCGGCCUGUUAAGUCAGCGGUAAAAGCCCGGGGCUCAACCCCGGCGAGCCGUUGAAACUGGCGGGCUGGAGUUGGAGAGAAGUACGCGGAAUGCGCGGUGUAGCGGUGAAAUGCUUAGAUAUCGCGCAGAACCCCGAUUGCGAAGGCAGCGUACCGGCUCCACACUGACGCUGAGGCACGAAAGCGUGGGUAUCGAACAGGAUUAGAUACCCGAGUAGUC
rnacentral:rRNA from 1 species